rnacentral:rRNA from 1 species
UACGUAGGCAGCGAGCGUUGUUCGGAAUUACUGGGCGUAAAGAGUGUGUAGGCGGCGCUCUAAGUUCGGUGUGAAAUCUCUCGGCUUAACUGGGAGGGUGCGCCGGAAACUGGAGUGCUCGAACGUGGGAGAGGAAAGCGGAAUUCCUGGUGUAGCGGUGAAAUGCGUAGAUAUUGGGAAGAACACCGGUGGCGAAGGCGGCUAUCUGGACCGACAUUGACGCUGAGGCGCGAAAGCGUGGGGAGCAAACAGG